AGUUGCUAAAGACCAAACUAGUCAAAAGUCACUUCCUCUGACCAGGCCCCAUCAGCUCAAGCAUGCUUCUCUCUUUUCAACAGCACACCACAGCGCUUCUGCUGUUUACCAAGAGAGUAAACAAAGUACUACUGAAAACCUAUCUUCUUCAUAACAGAGUCACAAGGGUCUACGCAGCGCACUUUCCACAUAAUUAGCUGGGAAGAAAAGUCACUGGUCUGGUUGCAGUGCUCUGAAUGAACUUGAGGACAGCUACACAGCCCUGCUGUAUGAUCCAUUCUGCCCGGCCCCAGCGACAGAGCGGCUUUCCCGUCCCUUCCUCUCCUCCUCCUGUUUCUGCAGGGCUCUCCCUCCCCUCAACACGGCAGCGCAAAGUUUAACUGUGCAUGACAGAUGGCCGUGAA